AGAUGCACUGCGCCCCUUUCUCCUUUCCAAACGUGGAAUAAAAUGUAACCCCCGCAUACACACACACCGCCGCCGAAAUUUUAUAGAACUUUAUUCAUUUGGUAUUAAUUUGCACAGUAUUAUUAUUGUCACUGCAGGCAAAGCCUGUGACGCUGUCUUUGAAGAACAUCUCUCAACUGCAUCGCCGUUCCGCCUGGAUUCAUCGCUGACCCCCUCGACGCGCGGGAAAAACGGCUGCCUGCUGCUGCCUGCACGAAUGCAGCAGGGAGGAGGAAGAAGACGGCGCUGGGGAGGGACGGAAGGGCGAAAAUGGGACUGCUGUGGUUGGCUCAAAAGCCCAAAUUAGAUUGCAGGAUUUGAUCAUGCCUGUCAGGCAUGAUCCCCAGCAGAAUCCUGCUUGUACACAAAACAGUUUGCAUUUUACUGUCAAGGAGCACAAUGGAAUGAAUAUGCAG
rnacentral:lncRNA from 1 species